CGGCCACACCCAAAGUACACGCCCUGAAUCCUGCUGCACACAGAGCACGCCCCCACCGCAACGCCUGCGAAACUAGCACACGAUGCAGCCACGUCUGCCACAACACACAGCAGGUUGAAGAGCGCAAUAGAGUGGGCGUUCACCUUCUGGCUUUACAGUUUGUUCUGCUGAGUCUGUACGUCACCUGAUCUCUUUUAGGCUCCCGGAGCCACAUGCUUCGCCUUCUGAUGGCAGCCCAGAGUCCCUGAGAAGUGUCGCUUUGGCAACUGGAGACCUUCCGAGCUUCCUGCUCCUUUUGGGGGCAGUGAUGACACGUCUGGAUUCGAGAAGGAGCAAAGGCCCUGGGGCUCAAUAAGCAUGGUUGUGUUGCCAUCCUGAGGCGAGACACCUGGACAAGAUGUGUGAAUACUAGGGUUUCUGAUACUGAUACAAACUUGUUCCAAUCCAAUCCAACAGCAAUACCAAGGUUACCAUUUUCCCUCUGAGCAAGGCUCGAACAACGUGUCAGUCUCCAACGGGACAGUAAAUACUAUACGAUGAAUAAAAUCAGGUUUCCUAUUUUGUCUGUGUUACCUGAGAAGCCGAGGAGAUCACAGACAUUGGGUGCACGAUGCCAGUGCUGGUGAUUUCGUAAACAAGCUAAGAAAGUGUAAUGAGCAAGGAGACGCACACACACGGGUGUAUCCACCAGAUGGACUUUGGCGGUGUGAGGGAACAGGGACAUGGAAACUGGAGCCUGAGGUGUAACAGCGGAUGAGCAAAGCUAGGGCUGAGAAAACGAGUUCACGCCAAAGGAACAGCACUCAUGGACACCCUGAGGCAGGAGAGGACAGACGACGCACAGGAUCUCAAAGGAGCAGAGUGGCGACAAAAGGGAAAGCCGGUGAGCCCACACUGGCUGAGACUGAAAGGCUGGGGCGGGAUGCAGACCAGGAAGCCACAUCAGGUUUUGGUGUUUAUGUGCCGGGCAAUGUGACACGUGAAGGACACGUUUUCAACAAGUAUGCAGCAGUAUGUAAGGCAUUCAAAAAUAUGAAAAAGAACACGACCCACACCACCUGGGGUCAACAUCUCUCUGCCUCCAGGUGGAGUCUUGUUGGCUUGAUCUGUGCUCUAGUGGGUUGACCCCUCUGCAACCCCCACUGGCUUCCUCUUGCAUUCGUCCAGGGGGAGCCCAGCAGGAGACUGGAGGACAUAGCAAGUGAGGGAUUGAUUAGGUCAGCCUCCAUCUAUGCAGCCGUUUUGUUCCUGGUAACUGCCUCUUUAGCUCAUCCGGUGGGAAACACCCCAAGGGCCCUUGUGGUGUCCCAGCACCCUGUAAACAGCCCCUCAAAACUUACUCAGUAGAGUGUGCCUGCUGUUCCCUGCAAGGACCCACCUCCUGGGCUCAGGAAUAAAGGACAGGGACAUUUGUGUGUCUCUCCUCGGUUAAAACCCCUUCUUCUCCCUCAAAAGUAACCACUAUACUUCAUGCUGUGUUCUCAUCCCCUUGCUUGGUUUUCUGCUCUUAGCCCCUCACUUACAGCCGCAGCUCCCAGCGCUCUGCCCCGCACUUUCUAUUCCAGUGCAGUCUUGGGAUCAACUUCCAGUUUUCAGCAAUAGCAUUUUUUCGUUGUUUUUGUUUUGUCUGAGGACUUGCUCUGGCCAUCAAAGUCUACUUUGUCCCCAUCACCGCAUGCCAGAAGUACCCGGGGAUUAAUACCUCCUCCCAGCAGCCCUCAAACAAAUAUGGACGGGAGUUGGUGCAUACAUACUCCAGCUCCCUCACUUUUCCGAUGAGAUAUCCUGGGACACAGGGUUUCUCUGGAGGAUUAAGCUCUGCUUACCCAGCAAGGAAGGUGCUUUGACACUGCACCUCUCACUGGCUCCCUUCCCCUCCCUCUCACUACCUCUCUUCCUGACUCGUGUUUUCUAAGAUCGGCUCUUAAUUUUUUUUUUAAAGUUUAUUUAUUUUUGACAGAGAGAGAGACAGAGCAUGAGUGGAGGAGGGGCAGAGAGAGGGAGACACAGGAUCAGAAGCAGGCUCCAGGCUCUGAGCCAUCAGCACAGAGCCCGACGCGGGGCUCGAACUCACGGACCUCGAGAUCAUGACCUGAGCCGAAAUUGGACGCUCAACCGACUGGGCCACCCAGAUGCCCCAAGGCUCUUAAUUUUUUUUAAAAAAUUUAAUGCUUAUUUAUUUUUGAGAGACGGGGCACAAGUCAGGGAGGGGCAGAGAGGACACACAGAAUCCGAAGCAGGCUCCAGGCUCCGAGCUGUCAGCACAGAGCCUGAUGCCAGGCUUGAACUCACAAGCCAUGAGAUCAUGAUCGGAUCCGAAGUCAGACACUAAACUGACUGAGUCACCCAGGCACCUUGAUCAGCUCUUAAUUUUACCUCACAUUCCCUUUUGUGCAAUAAGAGGUAUGUAUCUUUAAGCAAACAAAGUAUUUUGCAUACUUCUAGGCUUUCUAAAAUUGAUAUUACAUUGCCUGAAAUUUUCUGUAACUGGUAUCUGUUCUAUAUCGUGUUUGUUAGGUUCGCCCAUAAUAGUAUCAAUUUCUGUGAUUUGUUCAUUUUCACUGCUGCAUAAUAUUUCAUCGCACACACAGUCAUUCCCCUUUGAUGGGCCCAUAAAUGUUUCUUUUGCUAUUUGAAGCAGUACCGCUAAGAACAUUCUUAUCUUCAUAUCUUUUUUGCCUAUGUAACAGGUUUUCUUGGCUAAAAACCUAAGAAUAGAAUUGGUGGCUUCUAGGGGAUGCAAGUUUUCAGAUAUAGUUGUUCUCUAGAGCGGUUGUACCAAAUGAUACGCUCCCUAGCAGCGUUUAUGAUUUUUGUUGCUCUCUCUCUUGCCAGCACUCGAUAUUGUCAGACUUUCCAACACCUUCUUGUGUUGGGAGGUAUCAUUAGAGUUUCAAAUUGCAUUUCCUUGCUUAAUGGGAGGUUGAACAUCUUUUCAUACGUAUGGAGGGGGUAAUUUUUGUGAAUGGCUGGUUAAUAAUUUUUCUUUGGGGUUGAUUUUCCUGUAUUUUAAUUGUUUUCAAACCUUUCAACAUUCUGUGUAUAAUUAUUUCUUGAUUAGAUAAAUAUUAGACACUAGACA